GACGAACCGUCCUAACGUUGUUCGGAAUCACUGGGCUUAAAGGGCGCGUAGGCGGCUUGCCAAGUCAGGGGUGAAAUCCUGCAGCUUAACUGUAGAAGGGCCUUUGAUACUGGCGAGCUCGAGGGAGGUAGGGGUAUGUGGAACUUCCGGUGGAGCGGUGAAAUGCGUUGAUAUCGGAAGGAACGCCGGUGGCGAAAGCGACGUACUGGACCUCUUCUGACGCUGAGGCGCGAAAGCUAGGGGAGCGAACAGG
rnacentral:rRNA from 1 species